AUAAUACGUUUCGAACUAAUGA
ensembl:ncRNA